rnacentral:Y_RNA from 1 species
GCCUGGUCAGAAGGUAGUGAGUUAACUCGGUGGAUUGUUUAGUCAGUCACAGGUCAAACUGCUUGUUCUACUCUUUCCCCCUUCUCACUACUGCACUUGACCAGUCUUUA